rnacentral:rRNA from 1 species
AUGUACCAGUGGCGCAAGUUCGAGUUCUUCGAGGAGAAGGGGGCAGGGCGCGGUGGGGGAGGCGGCGCCCCGGCCGUGCCAGCCGAGAUCGCGGGCCGAGUGACCUGCUCCUCGGGCGGCCGUGGCCGCGUCGCGAUCGGCUGCGACGACGGCACCGUGGGGCUCCUCGACCGCGGGUUCCGCCUCUCCUACGGGUUCCAGGCCUACGCCUCAUCCGUCCUCUUCCUCCAGCAGCUCAAGCAAAGAAAUGUUCUUGUCACGGUUGGAGAUGAUGAUCAAGCAUCUUCACAGUCAUCGGCAGUCUGUCUAAAAGUUUUCGACCUUGAUAAAGUACAAGAAGAGGGUUCAAGUACGACAACCCCUUUCUGUGUUCAAAUUUUGCGGGUCUUCACGAAUCAAUUUCCUGAGGCCAAGAUUACAUCAUUUUUGGUUUUAGAAGAAGCUCCUCCCAUCCUGUUGAUUGCUAUCGGAUUGGAUAAUGGUUGCAUUUAUUGCAUCAAAGGUGAUAUUGCACGUGAGCGUAUCACACGCUUCACAUUGCAAGUUGAACCUGUUUCAGACGGCACAAGUUCACCUAUUACUGGUCUUGGGUUCCGAGUUGAAGGGCAGGCACAUCAGCUCUUUGCCAUUACUCCUAGUUCCAUAACCUUGUUCAGCUUGCAUCAUCAACCACCAAGGAGGCAAACACUUGACCAAAUUGGUUGUGAGACCAAUGCCGUAGCAAUGAGUGACCGCAUGGAUCUGAUUGUUGGUAGACCAGAAGCUGUGUAUUUCUACGAAGUUGAUGGUAGAGGCCCUUGUUGGGCUUUCGAUGGUGAGAAGAAGUUUGUGGGUUGGUUUCGGGGUUAUUUACUUUGCAUAAUUGAAGAUCAGAGAAGCCGAAAGAAUACUCUUAAUGUUUACGAUCUUAAGAAUCGGUUAAUUGCGCAUAGCAUGCCUGUGGGGGAUGUUUCACAUUUGGUCACUGAGUGGGGCUAUAUUAUUCUCAUAAUGAGUGAUAAAAGGAUACUCUGCAUUGGGGAGAAAGACAUGGAAAGUAAGCUCGACAUGUUAUUUAAGAAAAAUCUUUAUACAGUCGCAAUCAAUCUUGUACAAAGUCAGCAGGCUGAUCCUGCUUCAACUGCCGAGGUUCUACGUAAGUAUGGUGACCAUCUGUAUGGAAAACAAGAAUAUGAUGAGGCCAUGUCUCAAUAUAUCCACACCAUUGGUCAUCUUGAACCAUCAUAUGUUAUACAGAAGUUUCUCGAUGCAAAGCGCAUCCACAACCUGACAAAUUAUCUAGAAAAGUUACAUGAUAGAGGAUUAGCAUCCAAAGACCACACAACCCUUCUGUUGAACUGCUAUACCAAAUUGAAAGAUGUUGAGAAGCUGAACCAUUUCAUCAAAGAUGAAGAUGGGGUAGGUGAAAUUAAGUUUGAUGUGGAAACUGCCAUAAGAGUAUGUCGUGCAGCUGGAUAUCAUGAACAUGCUAUGUUUGUAGCCAAAAAGGCUGGGAGACAUGAGCUGUAUUUGAAGAUUUUACUUGAGGAUCUUGCUAGAUAUGAUGAGGCGCUGCAGUAUAUAUCUGGCCUUGAGGCAAAUCAAGCUGGUCUUACUGUAAAAGAAUAUGGAAAAAUUCUUGUGGACCAUAGACCUGCUGAAACUGUUAAAAUACUGUUGAGGCUUUGUACUGAUGGGGGAGAUCCUACGACAAGGAGAGGUUCAAAUAGCAUGCGCUUGCUUAUGAUACCUUCACCAAUGGACUUUGUAAAUAUAUUUGUGCACAGCCCACAAUAUCUCAUGGAAUUUCUAGAAAACUAUAUCAAAGCAGUCAAGGACUCACCUGCUCAGACAGAAAUCCAUAACACCCUUCUGGAGCUGUAUAUAUCAAAAGAUUUAAGCUUCCCAUCUAUGUCACAAGAAAAUGGCUUUGAUCAUCACAAUAGUAAAGAAAGAAAAGGGAAGGAAAUUACAAACGGCUAUAAAUCAGGCACAAGGGAGAAAGCGAAACUUGGAAAAGAAGAAAAUAAAACAGCAAAGGAUAUUGUUGACAGACAAAGGAAAGGACUUGCUUUGCUGAAGUCUGCCUGGACACCUGAGAUGGAAGAACCUUUGUAUUCUGUUGAUCUUGCUCUUAUCAUUUGUAAUGCAAAUGCAUUUAAAGAUGGCUUGUUAUUUCUGUAUGAGAUAUUAAAACUCUACAAAGAGGUUAUCAGUUGCUACAAGCAAGCUCAUGACCAUGAAGGUUUAAUUGCAUGCUGUAAGAAGCUAGGGGACUCAACUCAAGGAGGGGAUCCAUCUCUCUGGGGUGACCUGUUGAAUUAUUUUGGUGAGCUUGGGGAAGAUUGCUCUAAGGAAGUUAAAGAGGUCUUGACCUACGUUGAGAAGGCGGAUGUUUUGCCUCCAAUUGUUGUCCUACAGACACUAUCAAAAAACCCAUGCUUGACUCUCUCAGUUGUUAAGGAUUACAUUGCUCGCAAACUUGAGCAAGAAUCAAAGCUAAUCGAAGAUGACAGAAAAUCUGUUGACAAGUACCAGGAAGAGACAGAAUUGAUGAAAAGGGAGAUAGAAGACCUCAAGACAAACGCAAAGGUUUUUCAACUAAGCAAGUGCACAGCAUGCACCUUCACCCUAGAUCUUCCUGCUGUCCAUUUCAUGUGCAUGCACUCGUUCCAUCUUCGCUGCCUUGGGGACAAUGAGAAGGAGUGCCCGGAAUGUGCACCUGAAUACAGAUCUGUUAUGGAGGCAAAGCAGAAGCUAGAACUAAAUGCCAGGGAUCAUGAUCUCUUCUUCAGGCAGUUAAGGGGUUCGAAGGAUGGCUUUUCUGUGGUAGCAGACUACUUCAGCAAGGGCGUAGUGAGCAAAACUACGAUUCCACCUGAAAAUGCCCCAUAG